rnacentral:RNase_P_RNA from 1 species
AACAAGACUCGAGCCAUCGCUGAGAUUUAUUUCUCAGAGGAAAGUCCGGACAGCAUAGGGUACUGUACUUCUCGAAAGGAAGGCUCAAAACAUGAAGGUGUUCUGAGACAGAAAGUGCUUCAGAGAUUUAGACUGCUCUUGCGUUUGUAAGAGUAACGGUGAGAAGGUGGAGUAAGAGCCCACCAGUAGUAUAGAGAUAUACUAGCUUAGGUAAACCUUGCAGGCUGAAAGACCAUGUAUACUGACGAUUGAAGGUUACCCGCUUGAUGUCAGAGGGUAGGUCGCGAAGAUAAAUGAUGGAUAGCUCUACACAGAGUGAGACAGAAUCCGGCUUAUAGAGUCCUGUUCUUC